GCCUUUGAUGACACAAUGGUUUCAAAAGAGGCAAACUUUUGUCUAAUCUGUUGAUAUCUAACAUGAACUAGGAUGGUCUAAGGU
rfam:Zea mays cultivar B73 chromosome 1, whole genome shotgun sequence.